GAUGAACGCUGACAGCAUGCUUAACACAUCAGCAAUUGAUUGGUGGCGGACGGGUGAGUAACGCGUAAAGAACUUACCUCACAGUUAGGGACAACAUUUGGAAACGAAUGCUAAUACCUAAUACUGUGAGAGAGCUUUGCGUCCCAUUAGCUAGUUGGAGAGGUAACGGCUCACCAAGGCGAUGAUGGGUAGCCGGCCUGGGAGGGUGAUCGGCCAAAAGGGGACUGAGACACGGCCCUGAGUCAUACGGGGGGCAGGAGUGGAGAAUAGUGGACAAGGGACCAAAGUCUGAGCCAGCAAUUCUGUGUGCACGAUGAAGAUUUCGGAAUGUAAAGUGCUUUCAGUUGGGAAGCGGUACCAACAGAAGAAGUGACGGCUAAAUACGUGCCAGCAGCCGCGGUAAUAC
rnacentral:rRNA from 1 species